rnacentral:tRNA from 1 species
CGGUAGCUCAGCUGGAUAGAGUGUUGGCCUCCGGAGCCAAAGGUCGUGGGUUCGAAUCCCGUCCG